rnacentral:tRNA from 1 species
UCAAAGUGUAGCUUACUUAAAGCCCUUCGCUUACACCGAAGAAACAUCUGUUUAAACCGUAUCAUUUAGA